GGUUAAGCGACUAAGCGUACACGGUGGAUGCCCUGGCAGUCAGAGGCGAUGAAGGGCGUGCUAAUCUGCGAUAAGCGCCGGUAAGGUGAUAUGAACCGUUAUAACCGGCGAUACCCGAAUGGGGAAACCCAGUGUGAUUCGUCACACUAUCAUUAACUGAAUCCAUAGGUUAAUGAGGCGAACCGGGGGAACUGAAACAUCUAAGUACCCCGAGGAAAAGAAAUCAACCGAGAUUCCCCCAGUAGCGGCGAGCGAACGGGGAGGAGCCCAGAGCCUGAAUCAGCAUGUGUGUUAGUGGAAGCGUCUGGAAAGGCGCGCGAUACAGGGUGACAGCCCCGUACACAAAAGCGCAUGUGCUGUGAGCUCGAUGAGUAGGGCGGGACACGUGGUAUCCUGUCUGAAUAUGGGGGGACCAUCCUCCAAGGCUAAAUACUCCUGACUGACCGAUAGUGAACCAGUACCGUGAGGGAAAGGCGAAAAGAACCCCGGCGAGGGGAGUGAAAAAGAACCUGAAACCGUGUACGUACAAGCAGUGGGAGCACCCUUUGGGGU
rnacentral:rRNA from 1 species